AUGGUGUCUGAGAUUAUGGACCUAGUGGACAGGAACGUGCAUCAGUGCUGGUUCCUCCGCUUUCUGGUGGCAGUUCCCGAAUGUGCUGUGUCUGCUCUGACCAUGCAGGAGCUGAGCACAGGCGUGGUGGCCUCCUCCCAGACCCUCUCCCUCACCUGCUCUGUCUCUGGGGGCUCUGUCACCAGCAGUUACCCCUGGUAUUGGAUCCACCAGCACCCUGGGAAAGGGUUGGAAUGGAUGGGGUACUGGUCAUGUGGUACCAGCUACAACCAAGCAUUCCAGGGCCACAUCUCCAUCACGACUGACAGCUCCAAGAACCAGUUAACUUAG